rnacentral:rRNA from 1 species
CAGCCGCCACGGUAAUACGGAGGGUGCAGGCGUUAAUCGGAAUUACUGGGCGUAAAGCGUGCGUAGGCGGUUUGUCAAGUCUGUUGUGAAAUCCCCGGGCUCAACCUGGGAAUGGCAGUGGAUACUGGCUCGCUAGAGUGUGUCAGAGGAUGGUGGAAUUCCCGGUGUAGCGGUGAAAUGCGUAGAGAUCGGGAGGAACAUCUGUGGCGAAGGCGGCCAUCUGGGACAACACUGACGCUGAGGCACGAAAGCGUGGGGAGCAAACAGGAUUAGAUACCCCCGUAGUCCCUGUCUCUUAUAC